GAAAUUAAAUUAAUUCCAAAAGAAAGAAAAAAAGAGGUGGGUUAAGAAUGGAAGGGGAAGCCCAAAGCACUUAGCAACCCCCUAGCUCAUGAAUGGGCAGCCGGCCCCAUGUGCCCGAAGCGACCCAAUGAUAGUCCUCCACGUGGUAGCCCGAAAAAUAAGAAAAAAAUUAAAUUAGCGGUGGCCGGAGUAGCAGACGGAGGGAGGACGCGUAGAGGUGCGGUCGGAAGAAGGUCGGAUUCGCGGCGAUCCUGGGUUGUGUGAGGCGGUACUUGCAUGGUGUUGGAGAAAGCGGUGGCCGGAAUCGAGCGGCGCGGCGAGGUCUGAAGGUGCGGCCUUGGUCAGAACUCAAUACGAAUUCGCAUUUGCUCACAUCAUGUGUUUUUCAAAUAGGAGCUUCCAUACGAGAAAACGGGACAAAAACAACAAAGAACAGAGAAAAAGGAGACAUAUUACACUCAUGGUGUUCACCAUGGCAUUUUCCAUGGCACUGACCACGACGUGGCUACCAAAAGUCACUUCAGCAAGAGGAAAAGCAAAGAAAGUGCAGUUUGAACUCAUGACAUUCAUCAUGACGGUCGUGGCGUUCGCCAUGGACCUUGAAGCCACGUUCAUUCACUUUGUACUCAUGGCGCUCGCCAUGAGGCCAUGGUGUCCGCCAUGGACUUCGUGACCAGAAAAGUAGCAAUUGUUUGGCCCAUUCUCCUCCCACUUCAGCAUUAUUUUCUCCACGACUCCUGCACGAUUUCAGCCUACUUUCAAAGCCAAAAACACUAUAUAGUUUUUAGGUUUUGAGUUGUCCAAGUUUAUAUAGAAUUAUCUGAGUAUUAAAAUACCAAUUUUAGACAGAAAAUCACGAGUAUUAUAGUUGUAGUUUCUCACAUUGAGGGACAACUGCCAUUAGCAUUAGGAAAUUUUUUGUACUUGGAUCGUUACAAUCUUGCCGGAAUCAAUUUCAAAUUUCGAUUUCAGCAUUAUUUUACAAUUUCCAACUUUAAUUUCAGGUUUA